CCUACGGGGGGCAGCAGUGAGGAAUAUUGGUCAAUGGCCGCAGGGCUGAACCAGCCAAGUCGCGUGAGGGAUGACGGUCCUAUGGAUUGUAAACCUCUUUUGCCAGGGAGCAAAGGGCGCCACGUGUGGCGUUUUGCGAGUACCUGAAGAAAAAGCAUCGGCUAACUCCGGGCCAGCAGCCGCGGUAAUACGGGGGAUGCGAGCGUUAUCCGGAUUUAUUGGGUUAAAAGGGUGCGCAGGCGGAAGGUCAAGUCAGCGGUAAAAGUUCGGGGCUAAACCCCGUAGUGCAUUUGAAACUGGCGAGCUUGAGUGAGCGAGAGGUAUGCGGAAGGCGUGGUGUAGCGGUGAAAUGCAUAGAGAUCACGAAGAACUCCGAUUGCGAAGGCAGCAUACCGGCGCUCAACUGACGCUCAUGCACGAAAGCGUGGGUAUCGAACAGGAUUAGAUACCCGUGUAGUC
rnacentral:rRNA from 1 species